CAUUCUUUUUUUUCAUUGCUUUGUAGAACUGUCACUGGAUUUACAAUUUCUGUAAUCCGUCUCCUGCAGAACAUACAAAGGGAGAUUGGGGCAGGUGUUUUCUGCAUCUACAGCUGGUGACCUUCUCAGUGGUUUUUCUCCCUCUCUGCACUGCCUUCUCCCCCUCGGAGUUUGGUGUCCUGAAUCCUUAUUUCCUAGAAAGAAAACACAAAGAUCCUCCCAUGCAAUCUUCCAGGCUAUUGUCAUACGACUGUCAUCAUAGAGGGAGCUGAGCUCUCAGAGGAAGGUCACUCUGCUGUCUCCAGGACUUGUCAAUGGGCAAUAUCAAGGAAAGUAUGGAGAAACUGGAUUGUGUCUCAACAAUGCAACUGGUCUAUGAAUUUGACCUUUCAAUUACGAACAACCUGCUGACCAAAGAUUCCCCAAGAUCCUCAGGUCAAGGAAAUAGUAUUCCUCAGGAGAGAGAAUAAAAACAAAAUAAAAUAAAACAAAAGGAAGUCUGAUA